CCUACGGGAGGCAGCAGUGGGGAAUUUUCCGCAAUGGGCGAAAGCCUGACGGAGCAACGCCGCGUGAGGGACGAAGGCCUCUGGGCUGUAAACCUCUUUUCUCAAGGAAGAAGAUCUGACGGUACUUGAGGAAUAAGCCUCGGCUAAUUCCGUGCCAGCAGCCGCGGUAAUA
rnacentral:rRNA from 1 species